rnacentral:rRNA from 1 species
UACGUAGGUGACCAGCGUUGUCCGGAUUUACUGGGCGUAAAGAGCGCGCAGGCGGUCGUUCAAGUCGAGUGUGAAAGCCCCCGGCUCAACUGGGGAGGGUCAUUCGAUACUGAUCGACUCGAAGGCAGGAGAGGGAAGUGGAAUUCCUGGUGUAGCGGUGGAAUGCGCAGAUAUCAGGAGGAACACCGGUGGCGAAGGCGGGUUUCUGGGCAGUAACUGACGCUGAGGAGCGAAAGCGUGGGGAGCGAACAGG